UCUUAGUUUCUUCUUAUUCUUUUUCUUUCAUACAUCGACUACUUCUCCUCCCCAAUUUUUUCUUCACUCAACGAGAUCUCUGAAAUCUGAAUCCAACCCAAAAUUUGAUAAACCAAAACCCGUUUCUCUAAAACCCUAUCUCAUGAAUCAAAAUUCCUCCAGAAAUUAAACCAAGUAUAGUACUAUAUUUCAGUAACUGAAACCCUAAAAAUAGUUUUCUUUUGUAAAGAAGUUGAAUUUGUGUAGAUGAUUUAUAGAAAUCAUGUAGUAAUUGAAACGAAGGGGAAGGUGGUGAUUCUGUGAUUGAUUUAUCCCGGAGAAGAAGGAGUUGAUGUUGCUCUAAAUUGAGUUAGGGUUUUCAAUUUAGAUUUCGAGGUUGUUUGAAUUGAGAUGUAAAUCAAGUUGUUUAUGGAUAUAGGAUUAAAGGGUUGGUAUUAGAUUGGUGAUGACGAAUCGUGUUGUUGAAGAUCGAGAAAAUUUGGGUUGCAUAAGAGUGUUCGGGAGAAAUUUGGAAGAAGAAAUUGAUGGUGAUGUUUAGGGUAAGUCUAUGAGAUUGGAAUUGAUCUUUCUUAUCUGAAUUUCAAUUGAGAUUUCUACAACUUAGGGUAUCUAUUCUUCCCCAACUAUAUUCUGAAUCUAGGGUUUGAUAGAAAUUGAGAUGAAUAUAGAGAUAAAUGGGUAAAUAGGUUUAUUGUGGUUGUGAUGUCACGAAUUGUUUGUGGUUGAAUUGAAUUGAGUUGAUGUUGAAGUAAUUAGGUUCUUGAGAAGAAGUUCUGGUGGCCUUGAAGGUUAUGGAACGGUAAAAGGUGGAAAAGGAGUUAAUAGAAGACGGCGACUGAGUUUUAAUGAGCUUGGUGGUUGUAUGAAUUGUGCAGGUGUAAGUGAAGAUUGAUUUUUUCUAAAAGAUUAGGGAUUGAGUCUGAGAUAGAGAUGCCAUGGCUAGGCAGAAGAGGUGGUUAUGAUGGUGAUACUUCAAGGUGCUUAAUCAGGAUGAGAGACCACUGCUUUACAGUUUGAUCUUCGGUGAAGGUGUUGUUAAUGACGCAAAUUCUGUGGUGCUCGUCAAUGCAAUUCAGGACUUUAAUAUCUUAUUCACAUCAAUUCCAAAAUCGCAUUGCAAUUUUUUGGGAACUUCUCAUAUUUAUUUAUCACAAGUACACUGCUUGGAACAUUUGCUGGACUUUUGAGUGUAUACAUCAUUAAAAGCUAUAUAAUGUUCCCAAAUCGGC